GAGCGUGUUGCUUAAUUCGAUGCUACGCGAAGAACCUUACCUGGGUUUGACGUGUACGGAAAAGCCACAGAGAUGUGGUGUCCCUUCGGGGCCGUACACAGGUGGUGCAUGGCUGUCGUCAGCCCGUGUCGUGAGAUGUUGGGUUAAGUCCCGCAACGAGCGCAACCCUUAUUCUAUGUUGCCAGCGGGUAAUGCCGGGGACUCGUGGAAGACUGCCGGGGUCAACUCGGAGGAAGGUGGGGACGACGCCAAGUCAUCAUGCCCCUUACGUCCAGGGCUGCAAACACGCUACAAUGGCCGGUACAAAGGGCUGCGAACUCGCGAGAGUAAGCCAAUCCCACAAAGCCGGUCUCAGUUCGGAUUGGAGGCUGCAACUCGCCUCCAUGAAGCUGGAGUUGCUAGUAAUCCCGGAUCAGCACGCCGGGGUGAAUACGUUCCCGGGCCUUGUACACACCGCCCGUCACACCACGAAAGUCGCAA
rnacentral:rRNA from 1 species